GCGGCGCCGGUGCGCCGGAUUCGGCGGCGACCGUGUCGUCGGCGGUCGGGCGGGCCGUGUCGGUGGGUGCGGGACGGUCCGAUGCCGCUGGUGCCGCG
rnacentral:tRNA from 1 species